rnacentral:misc_RNA from 1 species
UUUGGUGUGGCGGUCCUUGGUGGAUGACCUUCUACUCGCUGUAACCGGCAUGGGCAGAGGGAUUGACAUUGGUAUCUGCAUCUGCAUAGACAUGGGGACGACCCCAAUAGCCGUCGGCGGCGACGGAGGAGGCUGCUUUGGGGCACGUGAUUGGGUUCUGUGAUCCGAGUCAGAGGGUGGGUCGGGGUCGGAAUCAAUGGGCUCUUCUUUGAAGGAUAUGAGCUGAAAUGCUUCCGUUUCAUCAAUUGUUGAUAUCUUCGAGAGGCCAUUGUUAUUGUCGCUGAUAUUGUUAUUGCUUUUCUUCAUGUUAACCUCUCCAACGCUUGUGCUAACAUCAGAGGUGGCUCCUUCAUCAUUUGGGUCCAUUUCAUGCUGUUGAAACGACUCCACUUUCAAAGUCAACACCAGAUGGCAAUUUGAGGCAACAAAUGGGAGACUAUCGUGUUUGUUUUCAAGGAAAAUUAAUGUAAGGUUUCCUUCAUAUAUGGGUUUGGUGCAGAGAUCAGAGGAAUUAUAAAGGAAUGAAACAUGAAAUCCACAGAAAAAGAGAAUGAGAAAGAAAAGUUUUGAAGAAAAGAGAUUAAACCCCAAAGUUCAUUUCCUCUCCAUUUUGUAAUUGUAUAAUAAUAAUUAAUAAUAAUCAUGAUCUUGUUCUUUAAUUUCAGGGAGAAUAGAAAUGGUUGGUGCGUGCCUGCCCGUUAGAGGGUGGUGGGGAUGGGGGGGGAUCAACGGAUGGGAUAAGAUCAUGGAAAUUAUGUGGGAAACGUGUCAAGACUUUCUUGGUAACCAAUUGGGCGUGCUGGAGGUCCCAAUCAAGUGGACCACUAGAGACAGGUGGUCUCGACUCUCAACCAAUGGGUUUAUAGAGCGGUGUCAGAAAAGUCUGUAAAAGUUAUAGUUUUUGUGGUCUAAUAAAUGGAUUUCAUUUGUUGAUGCCCACAUUACUUGUGGUCCAUACAUAAUCCAAAAGCGAAAAGAUCUCCACUGUUGCCAGUGUCCGACGAUAAAAGCAUAUACUGAAGGCAUUACAAUCUACAAGGUUUUGGACCCAUCGAACCAUGGGAGUUGAGACCUUCGAAGUUUUUUCCCCUGAAACGCUCCAUGUGUUUCCAAGAGGAUCAGAAAUCAGAUUAGCGUUUAUGAUCAUUUCCUUUUCUGAACUUUUGCCCCUGUUUUGUUCCUGCGUUGUAAAAUUAGUCAAUCCUGCACAAGCUGGGCAGACUCGACCAUUGCAGGACACUAUAGUUCCGUAAUUAUUGUUGGGUUGAGCUUAUGACCUGCUCUUUUUCAAUUCUAUAAGCAGAAUGCAAUCCCAGCAAUCAUUACAAUUGUUUAUCCAUUUUUGUGUUAUUUAUCAAUUGUUUGCAAGUGGAGAAUGAAGGUGAUUUUGUUCGCUUUCUUCUCCCUUCCCACUUUCCAAAAAUAAAUGAUGGUGGAAUUUACUUCCUGCAAAUUGCUUCAAGUUUAUUAGCUGCAUUAGCACUUGGAUGUCUCUUGUUUCUAUUAGCGUCCAACUAACGAGGGUAGGUCAGAAGAG